rfam:Biomphalaria glabrata isolate BB02 linkage group LG20 unlocalized genomic scaffold LG20_random_Scaffold345, whole genome shotgun sequence.
GCCGAAAUAGCUCAGUUGGGAGAGCGUUAGACUAAAGGUCCCUGGUUCGAUCCCGGGUUGCGGCU